AUGACCAGUGGGCUCAUUUCAUGCACUCAUUGGCUGGGUGUGCCUUUCCCUUGUCCCCGAGGGAUUUGCCAGUCCCCUCCGCCCGCGCCCCGUGCUCGACCUCGAGAACAAGAAAAAGGUCAAACCCUAGCCGCCAAACCCUCUCCUCCCCACUCCAUCCUCUCCCACGCCGCCGCACCCUCUCCUCACACGCCUCAGCGCCCUCCCCUGCUCCCUCAGCAGCAGCAGCAGCGUCUCCAUGGACGCGGUGGCAUGACGGCUCCCAGGCACGGAUCCCCUCCUCUGCCUCCAUCCUCCACCUCUCCGGUCGCCCUGUUGCAACGUCCGAAGCAGCAGCAGGCGACCUGCAGCAGCUCCUUCCUACCUUCCAUGGACGAGCUCGAUGGAGACAUCGUCCAGCCUGACCACGGCCAUGACUACCCCACGCACAAGGUCCCUUCCUGCUCCCCCACCUUCUUCCAUGGAUCAAGACGCUACAUACACUCCAUCUGCUCCGUCCACCAACCCGCCCAGAAAGGUAGUUACAGUGAAUUGAUAUUCGCACUGAGGCCGGAGGCGAGAGGCGAGGGCACGGAGGUCGGCGGCAAGUGCUCAAGAGAGAAGAGGAAGGCAGCGGCGCUGGGCGGCUGCGGUUUACACAAGAGCGAGGUGACCUGCCCAGAGAGCAUCCUUUAUAUAAUGGGAUCUUAUGAACUUUUUUUGAAGAUUGCUGAGAAGCGCAAUCUUUUGAUCUUCGAGAACCGCAAGUUUGCUACAUUUAAAACACAUUCAUUAUGCAAGACGAAUGAUGAAUAUUCUACACAUGAGAGCAAUAUACUUGGUAUUAUGGAUGCUCAUAUAAUUCCUGGACCUGGAAUUGUUGAUGGCUUGAGGCUUAAACAAUUGUUUGUAUCUCUUCCCUUUGACACGCGGAGAUUUUUUGGGAGCUGCUUUAUUUAUUCCAUUACUUUUGUUCUCGAUUUUUCUGGAGUCCUAUGCUUCACUCUUUUGCCCCCGAUGGAAACAAUCUAUGUUCAUCUACAAAAACCAAAGGAAGUAGCUUGUCGUUUGGAUAUCCCAAGCAUCGACUGGCGAGACUAUGGUUUGGCAAGCAGAGGUCCACUAGGACUGAGUGACGAACAAGCACAUGAAUGCAUGCAUCUUGUUCAAGCAUGGAUGGAAGAAAUUUCUCCUGAAAACAGGACUUGA
rnacentral:rRNA from 1 species